GCAUAUAUUCGAUCAAUUGGUGAAUGGUGUGUUGUUGCGGCGCAAGCUGUGAUAGCCUCCAUUUCUCCUCACCCUUGUGAAUGUACCUUGAAAGUGGCUGCUGCGUCUGCGUGCGUACGAGCGUAUGCUCGUGCGUGCAAGGAUGCCGGCCAUGCGUUUGCGUGACGCUUUGGCUAGCGCACUCGCCUUGUAUACACACUCUUUUGAACUAUAAAGUGACAUGUGCCAAUUUGGCGUGACCUACCAAAUCGUAAUAACUUUUAACAAUGGAUCUCUUGGCUCUUGCAACGAUGAAGAACGCAGCAAUAUGCGAUAACUAAUGUGACUCGCAACAGCUCGUGAAUCAUCAAGUUUUUGAACGCACAUUGCACUUCCUGGUAUUCCGGGAAGUACACCUGUUUGAGUAUCAUUUACCUCUCACACAAACCCAUAUGUGCUUGCCUUUACGGGCGAGUGCGGUUGUGUGGAUGUGGGCCUUUCAUCCGUAUGCACACGGUGGCGUCAGCUGCUGUUGCUGGGCGAGGCUUGAAAAGGAGCGACCCUAGCUUUGUUGCGAUACAAGCGAGAUAAAUGUUUCCGCUUUGCGACACUGCAUCUACGGGGUUGUAGUGGAUAUGCACGAACCUUAUUGAUCUCAAAUCAGGUGGGAGGACCCGCUGAACUUAAGCAUAUCAAUAAGGCGGGAGGA
rnacentral:sRNA from 1 species